AAUAAGCAGCUAAAAGCUUUGAAGAAAUUGAACUUUUUUUUUUUUAAAUUAAAAAUAGUGAAUCGGUGACUAUAUUCUUGUUCUAUUUUAUCUUUAAUUUCUAAAAAUCUUCUGUUAAGUUAGUAGAUUAUGUAGUUAUUCUAGCCAUUGAUAACCAUGAAUAAAAUUGCUUCCACAUAUAUUAUUAUUUGUUGUAUAAGAAUUCUUUUUUACUAUCUGCAUAUCUUUUUUAUUUUCUGUAAUUGCUUUCCCAGAGAGAAUUAUGAAAUUUAUCUCUUGAGUUUGAUGGGUGGUAGACUGUAUAUAUAUAUAUACUUUUCUUUUUAAAUAUAGUAACUGCAAAUUACUUUGGAAUUGUAGUCACUACUUUAAGGAGACUAACUGUGCUAGAGAGCUUAAUUUACAACCCAUUCACAAAAUGGUUUUAAAUAAGAAAUUUGCUUUAUUAAAUAUAAGGGAAUAAAUAAAUAUUUACCCAUGUUUACAUGAGCAAGUUUAUUUCAUAAAAUUUUUUUCGAAUUUGUUCAUUUAACCUUCAACUUUUUAUGCAUUUUUCGACAACAAAUAUUUAAUUUGAGAAAUAUGAAAUAAUCAAAUACUCACAAUUUUUGAACUAUGUAAUGCUCCUUUAUUUCCUCUAAAAAAUUGAGAACAGCAUAAAUCGCUCAUGGGCUGCAAUAGUGGCAAAACUCAAGGACUAUGAUGGUUUUGGACUAAGAACUGGUGUAAAAAUGAAAAUACACAUUCUUUUCGGCAGCAAUACUAGCACAACUCAUAAUUCAACUUGAAGGAUAAUCUUCGUUUAAGCAAACUAAAGCAUUUCUUAUGCAUUUUCCUUAGCAAUGAAAACUUUAAAUCCACUUAUCUCAAGACAUGAUUUUUUGAGUUGUGCCUCUCUUACAGCCCAUGGGAGAAAUAUGUUUCUUCCAUAAGUUAAAACACCUUCCUUUGCUUUGAAAUAACAUCUAUUUUUCACGAGUGUGCAUUCGCAUGUGAAAGUGUGACCUAAGUGAUUAAAUAUCUAUUUUUCGUAAUGGCUAAUUUAAAUAUUAGUUAUAUAUGAUUUUAACUACGUAAUUUCUGUUAACAGUUUAGAUGCAGCUAUGAGAUCACUUUCAUUGCAUUCAUUGACAGACCCGCAUAGAUUUGUACCAAUCAAAUUUGAAAAAUUAGUUGCGUUCAAAGCUUGUUUAUUUAUUUAUUUAUUUUUUUUUUUUGUAUGGCACACCUCACUACACUACUUUUUUUUAAAAAAAGUAGCAUACUACUCUAUGAAAAAAAGUAACCACUAAAGUAAUUUGAUUACUUGUAGUGCGCUUUUUCCGACCACUGUCUAUAUGUAUAUAUAAAUUACAGUAGUGGAUCAACUUGAGGGAUAUUUGUUUCAGUAGAAAGAAGAGAAGGGCUUGCCUUUCUUACAUUAAUUCAAGAGAAUGGGAAGGAACUGGUUCACAAUAAGGCUUAUUGCGCGUAACAAAAGUUAAACAUUGGAGGAUUUAAAAUUAUAUCUGAAGGACUAUUUAAUAGUAAAAAAAAGAGAGAAAACUUAAAUUGAGAACUGAUUGGUGCAGUGUAAUUGCAUCAACUACUCCAGACACAGUGAAAAUAAACUCUUUAAGAUGGCUUAACAUUAACACCUUUAAGUAAGGGCU